CUUCAAAAAUCCACUGCCUGAGGCCAGGGCCUAGGAAGUGGAAAAUGUAAUUUCACAAAGAGAUGAGAACAAAUGCUGAGCCUUUUAAUUGCAGAAGUCAGAGAAGCUGGUGAGUUAUGGAGAGGUGCAGGAAGUGUAUUUCUGAAAAUUCAGUUAAAAUCAGGUACUAGAUUGGAAGAGAGAAAGUAAGAACACGCUAAUUGAUGGAUGCAAAGUCAGGCAAUAGAUGCAAUAGUUGGACAGUUACUGUGCUCAUCUGGAGUUUCAUUUUGGGAUGAAGGCUGCAAUGAUUCUCAGUAUCUAUCUCCAUCUCUCUCAGUUCUCCUGAAAUCUACCUGGAAUUACCAACAAUAUAACAAUGACUGGACAUGCCUCACCACCUGUGGCAACACAAGAUUAAAUGCUGCUGUGACUCAACACUGUUGUACUGGGUGUCCCAGCCUGAAGCCAAUGGAACCAUUGCACUAGCAAUGGCAUCUUCAUCUCCACCCUUCUGGCCUUGCUGCUGUCAGACUGGGGACAGCCCUGUGUGAGCACCUUUGCAGGGUAUCAGAGGCACUUCUUUUCCCACAGGAGUAGAGAAUUAGUUCAUUCUAGCCCCUCAUCACCCCCUCAGUGUUGGCCAUGCCAACACACUUAUGGGAGAUGUAAUUCAUGGUCUGGUGGGUCUGAGGCUGGUUUCGUGUGUGAUGGUCCUGAAGCUGCAGUUGUUCACCAAAGCCCAGAGGCCAAAGAGACUCCAUAAUGUGACAUUCUUCUAAUGCUGACGUUCACCUGGAAUCUUCAGUCCAGCUUCUGGGUGUGCUCAGAAGCACUUCUGACCUCACAGCACUAAACAGCUUGGUGCCUGCCUCUCCAGGAUUGAGAAAUGGCAUGCCACUUUACUACCAGAAGGGCCUGAUCCACUAGGUGUAUCCAAAACCUGCCUAACCCAUCAUGUUUCAUCCACAGGAGCAGAGAGAAGACAAGAAGAUGGUGGUGAUGACAGUACUUGUGUCCCAUCUCCUCUCCCCACUUGCUUCUAUCUAACAGUUCUGUACUGAGAACUGCUUCCCUGUGACCUGGGAGAUCUGGUUUCAACAUGCUCUGAGGAUGCUCUCUUGCUGAGUCAGUCUGCACCCUUCUGUUAAAUGGGGAAUAAAAGACCUUCUUUACCUCAUGGCCAUUUUCACCAGGCCUUGCCCACAUGCCAAUUUUUGCAGAUCAACUCAUGGUCACACUGUCAAGAGUUUGCUCUCUUCUGAGUGGGCUGCUGCAGCCAUGCUGCACAGUGCUCUGCUCUUGUCUCCUCUUCAGCAGUCAUUAUUUUCAGUUCAAAGUAUGGAGAACACUAACAGGUGUAUGCUGUGGGCAGCAGAGCAGUGCUGCAUCAAGAGUACUACAAUGCCAGGAGAAAAUAUUGUGUGCUCUAGGAAAAAGAUGGGUGAGAGUAUAAAUUAUGCUAUUACCUAACCUGGAAUAACUUGGAAGCACUGUCCUUGUUGAAAAUGAUACAUUUGGUGCCUUCCACAUCUAUCCUGUCUGUCUGGAGCAAACCCUGGUAUGAACUACACAGCUGGUGACACUUAGGUUUGCCCUUGGGGAUACCAACAGAUUUGUUCCAGAAGAGAGCUCAGACACUGACAGACAUCUGACAUACUGACCAUGGGGAAUAUGAGUGACCAGGAAACCCAUCCCUGGAGCAAAACAGGAGUGCACUAAGCUACUAGUACAGACACAGCAUUUUUAAGCAAUAAAUGUUCUAUUUUGAUGGGGCCCAUGAAGUUCAGGAGAGGUGUCUCUGCUGAGACCACCUCUACUCAAAGCACCAAGCAGAACAUCACACCCAAGUGAAACACAGUGCUGUCUAGCAGCCCUCAGUUGGUAUGGUCAAAUAAAUAAUGACUUCAUU